UUACGGGAGGCAGCAGUAGGGAAUAUUGCGCAAUGGGGGAAACCCUGACGCAGCAACGCCGCGUGAGUGAGGAAGGUCUUCGGAUUGUAAAACUCUUUUAUCAGGGAAAAAUGUCUUAGUGGUUAAUACCCAUUAGGAGUGAUGGUACCUGAGGAAUAAGCACCGGCUAACUUCGUGCCAGCAGCCGCGGUAAUACGAAGGGUGCAAGCGUUAUUCGGAAUCAUUGGGCGUAAAGCGCGCGCAGGCGGAUUGAUAAGUCAGGUGUGAAAUCUCGAAGCUCAACUUCGAAACUGCGCCUGAAACUAUUAGUCUAGAAUGUCGGAGGGGGCAGGGGAAUUUCACGUGUAGGGGUAAAAUCCGUAGAGAUGUGAAGGAACACCGGGGGCGAAGGCGCCUGCCUGGACGACUAUUGACGCUGAGGCGCGAAAGCGUGGGGAGCAAACAGGAUUAGAUACCCUUGUAGUCU
rnacentral:rRNA from 1 species